rnacentral:rRNA from 1 species
CGUAGGGUGCAAGCGUUAUCCGGAAUUAUUGGGCGUAAAGGGCUCGUAGGCGGUUCGUCGCGUCCGGUGUGAAAGUCCAUCGCUUAACGGUGGAUCUGCGCCGGGUACGGGCGGGCUGGAGUGCGGUAGGGGAGACUGGAAUUCCGGUCGUAACGGUGGAAUGUGUAGAUAUCGGGAAGGAACACCAAUGGCGGAAGGCAGGUCUCUGGGCCGUUACUGACGCUGAGGAGCGAAGCGUGGGGAGCGAACAGGAUU